GAGUUUGAUCGUGGCUCAGGAUAAACGCUGGCGGCAUGCCUAAUACAUGCAAGUCGAACGGGAGUGCUUGCACUCCAGUGGCGAACGGGUGAGUAACACGUAUCUAAUCUACCUUUUAGUGGGGGAUAACCUUUGGAAACGAAGGAUAAUACCGCAUAAGAUCUUCAUUAUGACAUCAGAAGAAGAGGAAAGAUCCGUUUGGAUCGCUAAAAGAUGAGGAUGCGGCGUAUUAGUUAGUAGGCGGGGUAAAGGCCCACCUAGACGAUGAUACGUAGCCGAACUGAGAGGUUGAUCGGCCACAUUGGGACUGAGAUACGGCCCAGACUCCUACGGGAGGCAGCAGUAGGGAAUUUUUCACAAUGGACGAAAGUCUGAUGAAGCAAUGCCGCGUGAGUGAUGAAGGUCUUCGGAUUGUAAAGCUCUGUUGUAA
rnacentral:rRNA from 1 species